GCCAGACUCCUACGGGAGGCAGCAGUGGAGAAUAUUGCACAAUGGGGGAAACCCUGAUGCAGCGACGCCGCGUGAGCGAUGAAGUAUUUCGGUAUGUAAAGCUCUCUCAGCAGGGAAGAAAAUGACGGUACCUGACUAAGAAGCCCCGGCUAACUACGUGCCAGCAGCCGCGGUAAUACGUAGGGGGCAAGCGUUAUCCGGAUUUACUGGGUGUAAAGGGAGCGUAGACGGCAUGGCAAGCCAGAUGUGAAAUACCGGGGCUCAACCCCGGGACUGCAUUUGGAACUGUUAAGCCGGAGUGUCGGAGAGGCAGGCGGAAUUCCUAGUGUAGCGGUGAAAUGCGUAGAUAUUAGGAGGAACACCAGUGGCGAAGGCGGCCUGCUGGACGAUAACUGACGUUGAGGCUCGAAAGCGUGGGGAGCAAACAGGAUUAGAUACCCCCGUA
rnacentral:rRNA from 1 species